UACGAAGGGGGCUAGCGUUGCUCGGAAUCACUGGGCGUAAAGGGUGCGUAGGCGGGUUUUUAAGUCAGGGGUGAAAUCCUGGAGCUCAACUCCAGAACUGCCUUUGAUACUGAAGAUCUUGAGUCCGGGAGAGGUGAGUGGAACUGCGAGUGUAGAGGUGAAAUUCGUAGAUAUUCGCAAGAACACCAGUGGCGAAGGCGGCUCACUGGCCCGAUACUGACGCUGAGGCACGAAAGCGUGGGGAGCGAACAGG
rnacentral:rRNA from 1 species